rnacentral:rRNA from 1 species
AUAUCAAUAAGCGGAGGAAAAGAAACCAACAGGGAUUGCCCCAGUAACGGCGAGUGAAGCGGCAAUAGCUCAAAUUUGAAAUCUGGCUCUUUCAGGGUCCGAGUUGUAAUUUGCAGAGGGUGCUUUGGCGUCGGCCGUGGUCUAAGUUCCUUGGAACAGGACGUCACAGAGGGUGAGAAUCCCGUACGUGGCCGCCGGUCUUCGCCGUGUAAAGCCCCUUCGACGAGUCGAGUUGUUUGGGAAUGCAGCUCUAAAUGGGAGAUAAAUUUCUUCUAAAGCUAAAUAUUGGCCAGAGACCGAUAGCGCACAAGUAGAGUGAUCGAAAGAUGAAAAGCACUUUGGAAAGAGAGUCAAAAAGCACGUGAAAUUGUUGAAAGGGAAGCGCUUGCAGCCAGACGUGCCCGCAGUUGCUCACCCGGGCUCUCGCCCGGGGCACUCUUCUGCGGGCAGGCCAGCAUCAGUUCGGGCGGUUGGAUAAAGGCCUCUGUCACGUACCACCCCCUCGGGGGCGGCCUUAUAGGGGAGGCGCAACACGACCAGCCCGAACUGAGGACCGCGCAUUAUGCUAGGAUGCUGGCGUAAUGGCUGUAAGCGGCCCGUCUUGAAACACGGACCAAGGAGUCUAACAUCUAUGCGAGUGUUUGGGUGUCAAGCCCGGACGCGCAAUGAAAGUGAACGGAGGUGGGAACCCUUACGGGCGCACCAUCGACCGAUCCUGAAGUCUUCGGAUGGAUUUGAGUAAGAGCAUAGCUGUUGGGACCCGAAAGAUGGUGAACUAUGCCUGAAUAGGGUGAAGCCAGGGGAAACCCUGGUGGAGGCUCGCAGCGGUUCUGACGUGCAAAUCGAUCGUCAAAUUUGGGCAUAGGGGCGAAAGACUAAUCGA